rnacentral:lncRNA from 1 species
ACACCCAUUUGAACUUUGGAUCUUCAAACUAAUAGAGUUUAUUUAUAAAAAGGGUUUAUUGCAUAUAUAAGCUAUCCCAUAAUAUUUGGAUAAUUUUUGGAGUUGAAAAACUAUUUUAUUUAAAUAGUUAUAUAGCCCUAAAGGCAUUUAUAGGGCAAAUGUAUUUUAUAUAUUUUAUUUUGAGGGGAAAUCACUCUCAAAAGUUGAAUCAUGGUAAAACAUGAUUUUACAAAUUUUCUGGAAUUUAUUUGGACCAAUUUAGAGUUCAAAAUCAAAAGAUAUCAAAGAAAUAAGAAAAACAGAAAAAGAAAAGGCUAAAAAAAUAAAAUAGAACAGACCGACCCACUGGGCCGGCCUGCUAAGCGUCGAACCGGCCGAACCGACCGCGCCCAAACACGCCCGAACCAGACCGGUCCGUGCGCGCCCGCUGCCACUGACGCGUGGGACCCCCGCGUCUGGGUCUUCUUCCCCGUUAGGAAAGCCGGCCGCCAAAUCCGCGCCGGACACCGCGCCGCUGCGAUCUCCGUUCCCGUCGAUUCCGACCUUCCAGAGCACCCCGAGCGCGUCCAUUUAAACCCCGCGACCUCCUCUCUUCUUCCCCCUUGCUUCCCCAGUCAAUCGCGCGCCCACGCUGCCCCUAUUUCUCGCCGUCGCUCACCGUCGCCCGCCGCCGUCCCGAGCUCGCCGCCACCGGCACGGUACGGCAAGGACGACCGGACCUCUCCCAUCUUCUUUCUCUCCUCCUCACGGUUUGUCUGACGCGCUCUUUUUGGUCAAUGGCGCACCGCAGCACCUCGCCGCCGAAACCUGAAGCUCCACCGCCGUCCGCCGCUGACCGCCGUCUUCGCGCCGUCCUAGGCAAGGCGUCCGACUGCCCCGAGGAGCGCCGACCCCGUCAUCGUCUUCGCCGUGCCACGCCGCCUCGUCUCCGCGCUUCCCUGACCCGAAUCCCCGCCGGAACCGCCCGCUGCCGCAUCCCCGCACUCGCCGGAGCUCCGCCGGAACCCUAGCGCCGCUGGUAAUCUCCCAUGUUCCAUCUCAGCCGUCCAUCCAUCUCCAACGGCUGAGAUUAGAUCCAUUUUCAUUCACUUAAACGAACCGGUACCGGCGAAAAUGUGACACGUGGCACUUAUUUUAUAAAAAGAAAAUCUAAUUUUAAUUCCCGGAAUAAUUAGAAAUGGCAUUUUUGCAGAAAAACCCCUGUAACUUCAAAUGAUCAUAUCUUUUAAUCUGUUUGGCGAAAUUUAAUGAUCCACACCUUUUUGGAAUCCUUAGGGAAUGUAGAAUGUUUUGGCACUGUCCAAUUUCAAAUUUGAAUUUUUGAAUCACAUUCAAAUUACAGAAUUGGGUUUAAUACCAAUUAAAUCAUAACUAAUUAUUUAGAAGUCCCUUUAAAUGAAACCAGUGCCCCAAAUUUUUUUUUAUUGUCCUCUGUCCAUUGGGACAGAGAAAUAAAUACUUUGAAUUAAUUUAUUUGGCUGAUGGCAAUAAAACCUUUAUUUUAGGGUUUAAACCCCAACCUUUGCUAAUUGUUUAAAACACUAAUUACAUGUACUUAAUUAUCAAUGCUUUGUACCAGUAGAUCACCCGAAUAAAAUCAACCACUCAUGUCACAUGUUUUGCAUUGCAUCAUGGCAUACAUAUUCUUUUGUUGUAUGGUGUGUUUAUUUAUGCAUUGUUUGUAUUGUUUAGUUUUCUCGGAGAGCGAACCGUGUGAUUGUGAAGAGUGCUUGAAUACCAACUGCUAUCAAGGCAAGUUCACUUUGACCAUCAUCCUAUUAUUUCAUUAUGCACGAGAUUUUAUUAGUUGCAUUGUUAGGAUUAUUAUUGUAUGUAUGCUAGUUAUGAUUCUCCUAGUAGUAUAGGAUACCUUUGCCAUGACCUCACCACCAAUUGCCAUCGUGGUAGUAAAAUGCUAUGCUAUGAUAAUAUACGAGGGUGGUAUUAUUACAAAGUGAUACUAUUGAAUUACAAUAUGGUUUUCCUAGUGUAUGGCAAAACAAGUAAUUCAAUGAACCGUCCUGGGUGGGCUGCUUUGAGGAAGUGGAGAUGUAUGUGACGUCAGGUCCAUUUCUAUGGUUUCAUUUCUAUGAGUCGUCUCGCCAUUUCUAUGGGAGAGCCUGCGUUGCAACUAAGGAAUGCCACCCGGGGUAACCAGAGACUGGACUAGUUUCCUGUUUAGUAGCUUCCAGUACAACCACAUGGUAUUAUGGGCUCAGCCAGGAUGGAUGUAAGAAAUAUGAACCCGGAUCCAAGGUGACAUCGGUAUGUAGUAGUGUAGGUGGGGGCGCGUCCCUCAGGUGGUCUUGGGGAUUAUGUUCUAAAAAUUCCUGUAGUCGAUCCCGUUGCUACUCUACCCUGAGGACAGCAAGGGAUUAACACGUUAAUUUCUUGUGGGUAAAGUGUACCACUUCUCGAGAGUGUCAAACUAAGUACUUAGCCGUGUCCCCGAUUAUGGACAAUUAUGAGCAACUAGAUACUGGGGCUGUAAGGAAGGUCUCACUCAUUCCAAUUUCCUAAUAAAAUGAAUGGAUUGAACUGGGUAGGAGCAUUGAUGUUUCUACUCAAUGUGCCUAGGUUAAUAGGAGCAUGGGUGUUUCUACCCCGUGUCCAAUAGAAUUAAAAACUACUUGAUUAAAAAUGAUAGGAUUGAACUAUGAUGCUUUUAUGCAAACAGCCAAACUCCACAUAACCAAAUUAUGCAUGUACUUGGUAGGUCCUUUAUAACUCUGGUGAACUUGCCAGUACAUUCAAAUGUAUUGACCACGUAGUGGCCGCAAUUAACAAUGCAGGUGGAUCCGACGAUGAGUGAGGUUCGUCGUUUUGUCGUGGGUCAUGUGCUUACAUUCCAACAUGCUCUCACCUUGGAGUAGUGUGGCCCUUAUGUUCUACCCUUUUUUCCGCUGCAGUAUUUUGAAACAAUGUUUUAUGAUGUUGAAACAAUAUUUGUUUAUGCUGGCCCAGGAGGUGAUGCAAGGUUGUAAGUACUAUUUAAAUCCUGGAUGAUGCAAUGUAAUAAAGUACUUUUGACCUUUGUUUCUGUAUAUUUCAUCAUGAAACUAUGUGUGCUAGUGAGUCGAUUCAGGGACUAGCACAGUAAGCACAGAGAUCGUACCCUAGUAAGGGGGCGGUCACUUCAUGCAGCCGCCACAUCAACGUGAGGUGCCUGAGGUUGCGGGCUGUCCUCCCGCCUGCUCUGCCGUAGACCAUCUCACCAGGGGGACGUCGUCUUCAUCAUCGUCCCCCUCCGGCGUGACCCUGCCAGCUUCCGGGGGAGCGUCAUCACCGUCGUCGUCGUCGUCAUCGUUGGAGUCCCCUCUGACGCCUAGAGAGGAGUCGUCAGAGUUCGAGUCCUCUGGCCUGGCGAAGCCUCGUGUGAGAACCCGGAAUUAACUUCCAGACCCUCCCUGUGUUUCACUUCAUCAGUCCAGGAUCAAGCUGAUGAACAUAGACAAAAUGAGUACCAUUGCACAACAAAGUAAAGAUAAAAUAAACUUUAUUUUUAAUAUGCAAAAAGACAUACAAAGUGUAAUGACUCAUGACAUUAUACAAUCAGAAAUCAGCGGAAAUAAAAUGCGUAGAGACUCCAUCUCAGCCACAGGCAGUCGAGGUAGUCCACGUGACCUCACAUUGGAAUCCUCCUAAUAGAUGUACUCAGCAUCGUCAUCUUCAUAGAACUCUGUAUAUCAACAAAAUGCAAUUGCCAUGAGUACAUUACGUACUCAGCGUGCCCCCUCGAGGAACCUGAAUAACUACAUGUACGGCUUCAAAGGAAGGCUAUAUGGUUCAUUUGCAUAAAAGCGAUUUUAUUUGAAAUACAACCAUAAUUUUGAUGAAAGCGGUUUUACACCAAAAACAAGUUUUAUAUGGACCAAUCCAAUGACGUUCAACAACGACACCGGAUAAGCAGCGGCAGGAUCCUCAUGACCCGGCGGCACAACCGACCUCUGUCGAACCAACACACUCACACACCAACACGAGAAAUAGAGAGAUGACAGGUAGAUGACCCAAAGUGCCCCUUCACUCGUCACUGACCGCGGACACGGCUAUUCGAAUAGUUUUGACUCUACAGAGUUUGUACACUGGACCCACAUGAAACCGACGUGUUACCCUGCUACUGUCCUCCUGUCGGAGUAGCAAUGGCGUCGAUUACGUGACCUUUCAAUCAACGAUCCUUGGUAUUGUCUCAGCCCGCUAAGGUUUCCCAGUCGGAGGUGUGUACGUCCACCUGCUAAAGGCCCCUCUUGCACCAAACAACGGCCGCAACCGCCAGGGAUAGCAAGUCCCUCAAGUCUCCACGGGACCCAAUCCACCACUUGGCCGAGACGCCACCAAUUCACGCUGACCUAGUUGGUACGCCAUACCCAUAUAGGCAUGUGGUUGCACUUGUAUGGUGAAGUAAGCGGAAAUCAGGCAUUUUCCCUUAUAGGGUACAACGGCAAAACACAAACUCGAGGGACUCCAACCCACUCCACCAACAAUCCGAUGCCGCCAUACCCUUGGUAGGUUCACCAGAAUAGUUUUAAAACACACCAUCGACACUUGUCACACAAGUCCGACCACACUCAGCAUCCAACAUGCUCACAAUAAUUAAGUUUUAAAGAAUAACUCACACUUGAGAUGACAUACUCGAAAUAAUGUGAACUAAAUUACUAAGCAACGCUAAGCAAUUCUACUUUGUGUAAGAAUACUAAAUAAAACUAUUCCAAGUAUCAGAUUAUGGCAUCAUGAUCGUGUCAACCGACACACUAGCUAUAGGAAUAAAAUAGCAUGCAUGUUUAUAAAACAAUAAAAUAACUACCUAAUGCCCAUUUGAAAACAUGGGUGAAAUAUGUUCAAAGAGAGGGGGGGGGGGGGGCAUGCCUCCGUUGAUGAAUCUUCUUCUUCAACCUUUUUGUUGGUGUUCCACCUCGUCACUCUCUAUUAGUCGUAAUGAUAGCAAGAACAAACAAAAUAAAUACAAAAUCGAUAAAGCCAAGCGAAAUAGAAAUAAAAGAGCGAAUAGACAACGGGGUCAAGAAUAGGUUUGGAAAAGGACAACUUGGAUAGGAUAUGAUCGUGGGACAGAUUCUAACAAGGAUAACUAUAUACCCGAAAGGAAGGAAUAUCUGAUUGUCCAUACCCUUUAGUAUAAUAGUAAAUACCACACCACGAAGCUUACUAUUAACCAGAUAAGCCAACAUAUAUGUAGACACUCUACGACAAUGUAAUGCACCUUAUCAUGCUAGUUUGCAAUCAUCAAUCAACAUCAUACUAGUGAAGCAAGCAAUGUGUACAAUAUACUAGCUAGCAUACAGCAGUAGCAACAUAAGUGAGAGAAUAAACAAAGCUAAUAUUUAUUGCUCUCUACACAUUAUAAAGAUACAUAUACAGAACUAGUUCUAAUUCAAGUCAAGGUUGAAUACAAAGCAUGAUUUCAGAGGUAACCAAUUAAACAAUCACGGCAGAUAAAUUAUGAGUAAAGCAUGCCACACAUGAUUCUAUACUAGUCAAGCAAGCAUAUGAUCUAUGCUAGUGGCAUGAGCAUGAUAAUACCAAAGAGAUGCAUCUUAGCUAUAGGGAACUAGACAAUAUAGGCAUUUGCAAGCCAACAUAUACAUGAUGGAGGUCACAACAAAUAAUGCUAUCAUGUGAGAAUAAUUGUCGCACCAGUGGCACCCGGGGUACUACCGCUGCGCGACGCGCGGGCCCCGUUCCCGGGUUCCCGGGAAGGUCUCAUCCCGGGGAGCAUCUAUGAGCUCCCCGGCAAGCUACCAGCCCGAAAGAGGCUAGCGGGGCUUCGGGAAAUAUUCCCGCCUGGGCACCUCCUGGGAAGCUCCUUCCCGGGAGGGGUUCCCGGGUGCGUUGGGCCCGGGUACUUCCCGGGGUCGACUUGCUGGGACUGGGGGUUCCCGGGCGCGUGCCCCCGCCCUGGGCGUGGGGCCCAAUGGACAACGCCACGCGGGCGUGUUGCGGGCGCGGGACGUAAGGCGCGCAGCUCAGUAAACGAGCCGACCGACGGGUAGUUACCCGUCCGAUCAAAGGAACAGUGGUUGUCUAAUCCUACCCUAGGGUCUUAGGCCCCUAGCAACGGAGGUGGCACCCAUGCACGCCACCAGCUCACCGGGGGGAGUUGCAUGCCUCCCUGUUGGACACUUGUAGCUCAUGCACUGCGGCACAUGUGGCAUCCCCUUAUGUAUAAAAGGAGGACCCAUGCCGACGGUCAAGUGGGUUUUUUAGUCGGUUAGUCAGUUAGCUGGUUCGGACCAGGCUCGCCGGACGGACGCUUAAUGGCUCCAGUAGGCAGCCAGCAGAGAGCGGUGAGGAGUACCUGGCCACUGAGAGAAAGCCCGGGAGCUUGCCCGGCAACUGGUAAACAUUUGAUCCGUAAUCAAUAUCAGCUUAGACAGGCAGGACGUAGGGUUUUACACCUCCGGGUGGCCCGAACCUGGGUAAAAAAUGUGCGUGCAUCUGUUCUUGGAUUAGCGCGCACCACUAGCACUUCGUUUCGCUGGCCCCGCAGGGUCUCAUCGGCCGCGCCGGCGAUCGCCGGGUCUCCGCCCCAGACGCCCCUACCGAACCUAAAAGGGGGAGGUGGCCGCACGCCCCCGGUGUCGGAGCACCGAGCAACAACAAUAAUUAAUAGGGAUAAAGAAAUCUGGAAUGCAACUUCUAGUGACAAUAAGCUAUCAUUAAAUGAAUGAACAUGAACAAUGCAUAUUAAGCAACAUGGCAAGCUAUUGAACAUUAAUCAGGGAAAAGACAUCUCUAUAAGAGAGCAUAUACAAGCGCAUGCAACAAUUAACAUGUAUCACUAACAAGAAAGAGGCUAACCAUGGAUGAGCAUAUAUCAUACUAAGCUAGUGACAACAAUAACAAAAAUAUACUAAGUACUCUAUAUAACAAAAGAAAUAAUAAAGCACAUGCAUAUUCUUUCUAUCUAUAAAUACAACCAAGAUCAUGUCAUUGGAACGGUACUAAAGUUCUAGUAAAGCAUUCAUAGAUUAUCUAAUAGAUAAAAGAAUAACUACAACAAAAGCAUGAUGAUUGUACAAGCCUACUAUAUGCAAUAUAAGCAGUGGAUAAAUGCAAAUAUCAUACCAUGACAUAUGAACAGGAUGGAAAGCAUCAAAACAAACUAAGUAUACUGUUGGAAUGGUACAAUAAGAUAAAUAAUAGUAUAUAUAUUAACAAGCACUUCUAUACACUAAACAUGGUAUUCCUAUGGAAAAAAAAUAAUGUUUUAAACAAACUAGCAAUGCAUCAAACUAUGUUCAAAUAAUUGACAGCAGCAUAUACGAGCAAACAAAAGCUACAGAUAAUCUGAAAUAACCAAAGCAAGUAUCAUGCAUGUGUAUGAGCUAGUAAACAAAUAAAACACAAGUAAAAAUGCUACUUUAGUCAUGAGAUAAAUUCUAUAAAUUUCAGAAACAUUUAUAUAGAAGUAUACAAUUUGUCACAGGCUAGAAGUAUUACAAGUAGCCCACAACAUAAAUCUAACCCGCGGAAAUAAGAUAUGCCCAGCACAUGCAAGAAUGAUAAUUUAAUUAGCCUACACGGGAUAACAUGGCUGAUUUCAGUAAUAUAUUCAGAAUACUGGUAGAAGGAUCUAAGAUGUCAUGCCAUGAAAUUCUGGGCAGCAAACAUCAUGCAUAUAUGAAUGUCUAUAUCAAACCGGUCGAUGAACUAGUAUGCAAACAAUGCUUUUUAAAUAAUCAGAAACUUGCCCAAACAUGAAGAUUCAGAAGUGAAUGUCUAAUUAACAUGGGUGCAAGUAAAAGUAACUACAAACAUGAUCUUAUAGACAUUUAUGCAGAUUUUUACACAGAAAGAACAAGCAUGAUCAAAAUAACUAUUGCACAUGAAAUAACAACCUUGCAAUCUCAAGAUCCUCAAAUCUACAAGUCCAGAACAUGUGAAACUAUUUGUAUGCAAAGUAAAUGAAUACUAGAACAUGAUAUACAUCUAUAUAUGCAGCAAGUUUCAGACAAAUAAAAAUUGAUCUAGCAAAGAUAUGAAAUCAACUAUUUUGGUGAUAACAAGCAGGAUAGGCUGAUUUGAGUUUUAUUGUUCCCAACCCCUAGGAAAUUUGCUCUAGGGCCUCUAACCAGUGGUAAUGACGUCUAAAGAUGGUUACUAAAGGAUGGAAGAGAGAUUUGAUCGGUGGAAAAGAUUCAGAAAUAGGAGAAAGAGGAUUUGGGGCUGUUAUACCAAUUGGUUCAGAAUUCCAAUUGAAUUUGUGGAUGGGAUGGGUACAGAAACGUUCAGAAGGAUGAUGGUUGGAUGAGGUUCUCACCAAUUUGAUGAACAGCAGUAGAUCAGGGAGAGAAGAACAAUUCGGUGGCUGCUGUAGUCGAUCAGAUCAUUCAGGCUUCUGCGGUCCUCCUCUUCCUUCCUGUUACAUGCGCCUGGCCUUCUCUCCACGCAUGUGCUGCUCCUGAUCGCUGGCUGCUCUGCCUUGCGAUUGAUCCCCUUCGGUGCUGCACCCUGGGAGCCUUCGGUUGAGAGUGGGGAGAGGGCAGAGGGAGUGGCUGUGCGUUUUGGAGAAAGAAAGAGUGCAACCGCUGCUUUGAGAGGAGAGGCAGGAAGAAGAUAUAGAGGCGAGAGAGACGCUUGUGUGAUUUGGUACGUGAUGGUUCAGCCUCUGGAGUUGGGGUGGUUCAGCCUGGAGUAGUGCUACGGCAGAAAUAAAAGAAAGCAAAGUUGGGCUGGGUAUUCUAAGUUGCUGGCUAUGGAAAAGAAACAAAAGGGAGAUGGGCUAGAAAAGAGUUCAGCAGCCCAAGGGCUAUGAUGCUUUUCUUUUUAACAUAGAGCUUGAAAAUCCAAUUAAAAACCAAAUCCAAUUAGAGCCUGAAAAAUGCUAGUAACAUUCAGAGAUGCAUAUUGGGAUAUGCGAAAUCUAAAUUAAAUAUAAACCAAGCAAACGAGCAAGUAUAAAUCAAAUUGAAAUUCUUGUUCAUGUUAUUAUAUUCACUUUGAAACUAAAGAUUGUGAGAAAGAUUUUACUUUACUUUGUCUAAUUCAACAAAAAUUUUAAGUAGUCAUUUUUAGGAAAUAUAUUUUCACUACUACAGAAAACUCCAUCCGUGAUCCCCCUCCAGUGGCGGUUCAAACGGACCAAAAAACACACCGCCACUGGAGGCCUCUCUAGGCAUCCACGAGGGCUACCAGUGGCGGUGACUAUCACCGCCACUGGUGCUACACCAGCAAUGGCGGUGAUUUUGUUCACCGAAACAAAUCACCGCCACUGAUGUUGUAGCACCAGUGGCAGUGACUAUCACCGCCACUGGCACUGCUCGUGGAUGCCCCAUAUGUUAGCAAUGGCGGGCACCUGAAAAAACCACCAUUGGUGAGUCUGCACCUGAUGGGUUAGCUACUCGGCCAACCGUGACCUUCCCUUAACCGCUGUAGCACCAAACUGAUCGCGUUUCGUACUCCAGCAGCCUGGGAAGUCACUGUUGACUGGUUAGCCACCGAUAGGAUGGGCGGCCGAAUCCAUUUUAUGUUGGUCAGAUCGUUUGUAAACAAGCGAGGUGGGACUAAAUUUCUCCACAGUGGCGGUUGUUUCUUUGUCACCGCCACUAGCUGUCUUCAAGUGGCGGGUCCAAUAAAAUGACCGCCACUGGUGAGUCGGCACGUUAUGGGACUACCCAGUAAACAGUGAUCUUCCCUUAGCCGCUGGAGCAGCAAACUGAUCGCGUUUGGUCCUCCAACGCAAGGGGAAGACACUGUUGACUAGGUAGCCACCGAUAGGAUGGGCAGCCGAAUCCCUUUUAUGCUGGUCAGAUCGUUUGUAAACAAGCGAGGUGGGACUAAAGUUGGGGAACUAGUGGGAGAUCACCAGUGGCGGGUAAAAUCUUACCCGCCACUGGUGAGGCCUCCAGUGGCGGUUUAUUUCUCCGCCCGCCGCUGGAGGUCACCAGUGGCGGUUAUUCAGUCUGCCCGCCACUGGAGACCUCACUAUAUAUAACCCCUGUACGAGCGCUAAGCUGUUCGAGCUCGCGCGUCUGUCUUCGACCAGCUGCAGCUCUGCUUCUCACCGGCGGCAAAGCCCUGCCAAAAUUUGAUGGCGGCGGCCGGAAGGUAGCUCUCCCCUGUUCUCCUCCCUCUUCCUCUCCCUUCUUCCACCUUCUAUUCUUCUCCAAUUUUGCAAAAUGGCCAUUAAUGGUGCCUUGGCCGCCGGCAGGAAAUUCGGCCCCGAUCUCUCUCCGGCGGCUCUCCCGGGCUGCCCCCGCUGUCUCUGGAGCUCCCCCUCACCCUAGUGAUGAUCCUCCCUCUCCCUCUCGCUUUAAUUUUGCUCGGAUGAGCUCCCUCUCUCUCUCUAGAUCUCUCUCUCUAACUCUCUCUCUCUCUGCAGCUCUCUCUCUAGCUCUCUCUCUAUAUAUAGCUGGUAUGGGGGAGCUUAGCCCCUGAGGAUUAGCUCUAGGGUUAAGCUUAACCUCGGGACCGGUGUACAUGCAUGUUCAAACAUAUUAAAUGUGUGUUGACACCGGCCUUCGUGCCGUGUAUUUCUUAUGUGAUGUGAUACCGGCCGUCGUGCCGAUGUGGGUGGGGGUAAUUUGUUUUUUAUGCAGGCAUCGAAUUUCAUAGUGCAAAAUGCUAUUUUUUUAGCAAAGGUCAUGCCAAAAUUUCCAUUUUUGUCGAGCAAGCUGAUUUGUUUAUUUUUUAAAAAAAUUGUGUUGUAGCUCGAUGGGCCGUGCUUGGAUGUACGAGGACAGGUUACGUGUUGAGUGGAUAGAGCGGCUGAAGACUUUUGUCGAUGCCGGCGUGGAAGAUAUGCAUAGGAAAGGGGGUGAUAACAUGUGUUGUUCCUGUGUGAGAUGUCGGAACAGCAAGCUGUACGAGGGAGAGGAUGUGGAGAUGCACUUGCUCAUGCGGGGAUUUGUGUCAGGUUAUUCAAGGUGGACUUCUCACGGGGAGGAUGGCAUUGAAGCCGAUGGCGGCAUUGAGAUGGAAAACAUGGAGUCUGACGACCAGCCUGGUGAAGAAGCAUACCGUGGCCUGGAUCCAGUACAGGACGUUCCAACCGGCAGGAUGGUUGAAAUGCUGGACGAUCAGCAUCUGCAAAAUCAGUUGGAUGACCCCGAGGAUGAGAGGGUGUCCCGUAAGUUCAAGAAGCUGAGAGAGGAUGGCGAGACACCAUUAUAUGAAAAUGCCGGCGUGGAUAAGAGUGUGCUAGAAGUAACGCUCGAGCUUUUGCGUAUAAAGGCAAAAUAGAACAUCGUGGACUCGGGAUUCACGGAGAUUCUGAGUUACCUACGUACGGUACUUCCUCCGGGCAACAAGUUGGAUAAGAGCACGUACGAGGCGAAGAAAGUUACAUGCCCACUCAGGUUAGAGGUCAUCAGAUACCAUGCUUGUCCGCUGGACUACAUCAUAUAUAAGGGCAACUACAAAGACAUGCACAGCUGUCCAGUAUGCAAAACAUCCCGAUACAGGAAGAAAGACCCCAAUCCUGACGGUGGCGAGGAGGAAGAAUUGAAGCGUGGUGCGGCGGCAAAGACGGUCUGGUAUCUCCCGUGUGGCACCAGGCUAGAGCGUUGGUUCCAGAACGAGAAGGAGGCCAGGUGGUUCGUCUACCACAACGCGACUCAGGCGGAUAUCGAUCCUGACGGCGUGUACCGCAACGAUGAUGGAGUCCUCAGACACCCCACAGAUGCGGCUCAAUGGAGGACUCUGGACGACGAAUUCCCCAAGUUCGGCGCAGAGCCCAGGAACAUCAGGUUCGGGAUGAGUACGGACGGGAUCAAUCCGUUCGGAAACUUGAGCAGCAAACACAGCACAUGGCCGGUGAUCCAUUUCAUAGACAACCUCCCCCCGUGGCU